CAGCAGUGGGGAAUUUUGGACAAUGGGGGAAACCCUGAUCCAGCCAUCCCGCGUGUGCGAUGAAGGCCUUCGGGUUGUAAAGCACUUUUGUCAGGGAAGAAAAGUUCGUGGUUAAUACCCAUGGACGCUGACGGUACCUGAAGAAUAAGCACCGGCUAACUACGUGCCAGCAGCCGCGGUAAUACGUAGGGUGCAAGCGUUAAUCGGAAUUACUGGGCGUAAAGCGUGCGCAGGCGGUUCGGAAAGAAAGAUGUGAAAUCCCAGGGCUCAACCUUGGAACUGCAUUUUUAACUCCCGAACUAGAGUAUGUCAGAGGGGGGUAGAAUUCCACGUGUAGCAGUGAAAUGCGUAGAGAUGUGGAGGAAUACCGAUGGCGAAGGCAGCCCCCUGGGAUAAUACUGACGCUCAUGCACGAAAGCGUGGGGAGCAAACAGGAUUAGA
rnacentral:rRNA from 1 species